rnacentral:rRNA from 1 species
CAAUCUGCCUUGGAGUGGGGAAUAACGGCUGGAAACAGCCGCUAAUACCGCAUGAUGCAUCUGAGUCGCAUGGUUUGGAUGCCAAAGAUUUAUCGCUCUGAGAUGAGCUCGCGUCUGAUUAGCUAGUUGGCGGGGUAACGGCCCACCGAGGCGACGAUCAGUAGCCGGACUGAGAGGUUGGCCGGCCACAUUGGGACUGAGACACGGCCCAGACUCCUACGGAAGGCAGCAG